rnacentral:tRNA from 1 species
GGGCUGGUAGUUCAGUGGUAGAAUGUCUGCCUCGCACGCAGGAGGCCGGGGGUUCAAGUCCCCCCCAGUCCACCA